rnacentral:rRNA from 1 species
GCUUAGAGAGGGGUCAAUGUCCUAUCAGCUAGUUGGUAAGGUAAUGGCUUACCAAGGCUAAGACGGGUAGCCGGCCUGAGAGGGUGGUCGGCCACACUGGGACUGAGACACUGCCCAGACUCCUACGGGAGGCUGCAGUCGAGAAUCUUUCGCAAUGCCCGAAAGGGUGACGAAGCGACGCCGCGUGUGGGAAGAAGGCCUUCGGGUUGUAAACCACUGUCGGGAGUUAAGAAAUGUAAGGGUGUUAAUAGCAUCCUUACUUGACUAAGGCUCCGGAGGAAGCCACGGCUAACUCUGUGCCAGCAGCCGCGGUAAUACAGAGGCGGCAAGCGCUGUUCGGAAUUAUUGGGCGUAAAGAGCACGUAGGCGGCUUUGUAAGUCAGUUGUGAAAGCCUUCCGCUUAACGGAAGAACAGCAUCUGAUACUGCAAGGCUAGAGUGCGGAAGGG